UCGUGCGUCGCUGGCCUAUACAUCGGCGGUCCACUCAGCGUAACAGGAAAUGGAGCUGAACCGGGCCAUUGGCUCCAACCUGCCAUAGGACUCAGAAAAGGAAACAUAUAAGGGUUAGGAUACAUAAAAGGGCUAGGAAACGCACCUGGCAUCAUCUGAAAAGGCGGUUGAGUCGGUAUCAUCGGUUGAACUGCUGGGCCGGGUGACUGUGUCUGUGCUCCCGCUGGGCCUGUUGAUUCUAUGGGCGCUGAUGAUGGGUUGGGCGAAUUUUUGGGCAUAGUUUAUGGCCCUGCGUCGUCGUCCCUUCUUGGAUUUAAAGGCCACGUCGUUCCCUUUGGAUACGUAAUUGCCACUGCCUCUCCUCUG
rnacentral:lncRNA from 1 species